rnacentral:rRNA from 1 species
CGGUAGCACAGAGAGCUUGCUCUCGGGUGACGAGCGGCGGACGGGUGAGUAAUGUCUGGGAAACUGCCUGAUGGAGGGGGAUAACUACUGGAAACGGUAGCUAAUACCGCAUAACGUCGCACGACCAAAGAGGGGGACCUUCGGGCCUCUUGCCAUCAGAUGUGCCCAGAUGGGAUUAGCUAGUACGUGGGGUAAUGGCUCACCUAGGCGACGAUCCCUAGCUGGUCUGAGAGGAUGACCAGCCACACUGGAACUGAGACACGGUCCAGACUCCUACGGGAGGCAGCAGUGGGGAAUAUUGCACAAUGGGCGCAAGCCUGAUGCAGCCAUGCCGCGUGUAUGAAGAAGGCCUUCGGGUUGUAAAGUACUUUCAGCGAGGAGGAAGGCAUUAAGGUUAAUAACCUUAGUGAUUGACGUUACUCGCAGAAGAAGCACCGGCUAACUCCGUGCCAGCAGCCGCGGUAAUACGGAGGGUGCAAGCGUUAAUCGGAAUUACUGGGCGUAAAGCGCACGCAGGCGGUCUGUCAAGUCGGAUGUGAAAUCCCCGGGCUCAACCUGGGAACUGCAUUCGAAACUGGCAGGCUAGAGUCUUGUAGAGGGGGGUAGAAUUCCAGGUGUAGCGGUGAAAUGCGUAGAGAUCUGGAGGAAUACCGGUGGCGAAUGCGGCCCCCUGGACCAAGACCGACGCUCACGUGCGAAAGCGUGUGGAGCAAACAGGAUUAGAUACCCUGGUAGUCCACGCCGUAUACGAUGUCGACUUGCAGGUUGUUCCCUUGAGGAGUGGCUUCCGGAGCUCACGCGUUAAGUCGACCGCCUGGGGAGUACGGCCGCAAGGUUAAAACUCAAAUGAAUUGACGGGGGCCCGCACAAGCGGUGGAGCAUGUGGUUUAAUUCGAUGCAACGCGAAGAACCUUACCUACUCUUGACAUCCACGGAAUUUAGCAGAGAUGCUUUAGUGCCUUCGGGAAACCGUGAGACAGGUGCUGCAUGGCUGUCGUCAGCUCGUGUUGUGAAAUGUUGGGUUAAGUCCCGCAACGAGCGCAACCCUUAUCCUUUGUUGCCAGCGGUUCGGCCGGGAACUCAAAGGAGACUGCCAGUGAUAAACUGGA